CUGGCGGUAUGCUUACACAUGCAAGUCGAACGAAAGUUUUUAACUUUAGUGGCGAACGGGUGCGUAAUACGUGAGAAUCUGCCCUUAGGAGAAGAAUAACUGCUGGAAACGGUUGCUAAAUCUUCAUAUGUCGAGAGAUGAAAUAGCUUAGGCUGCCUAAGGAUGAGCUCACGCCUGAUUAGCUUGUUGGUGAGGUAAUGGCUCACCAAGGCCACGAUCAGUAGCUGGUUUGAGAGAACGAUCAGCCACACUGGGACUGAGACACGGCCCAGACUCCUCCGGGAGGCAGCAGUGAGGAAUUUUCCGCAAUGGGCGAAAGCCUGACGGAGCAAUACCGCGUGAGGGAUGAAGGAUUUUGGUCUGUAAACCUCUUUUCUCAAGAAAGAAGUUCUGACGGUACUUGAGGAAUAAGCAUCGGCUAACUCCGUGCCAGCAGCCGCGGUAAUACGGGGGAUGCAAGCGUUAUCCGGAAUGAUUGGGCGUAAAGCGCCUGUAGGUUGUUUAUUAAGUCCGUUGUUAAAGCCUAGGGCUUAACCCUAGAAAAGCAAUGGAAACUAGUAGACUAGAGUAUGGCAGGGGUAGAGGGAAUUUCUAGUGUAGCGGUGAAAUGCGUAGAUAUUAGAAAGAACACCGGUGGCGAAAGCGCUCUACUGGACCAUUACUGACACUCAGAGGCGAAAGCUAGGGUAGCAAAAGGGAUUAGAUACCCCUGUAGUCCUAGCCGUAAACGAUGGAUACUAGAUGUUGUGCAUUAUGUACAGUAUCGUAGCUAACGCGUUAAGUAUCCCGCCUGGGGAGUA
rnacentral:rRNA from 1 species